AAAGUACUCCCUCCAUCCCAAAAUUCUUGUUUUAGAUUUGUCUAGAUACAGAUGUAUCAAGUCACAUUUUAGUAUUAGAUACAUCUGUAUCUAGAUAAAUGUAAGAUAAGAAAUUUGGGACAGAGGGAGUAGUUG
rfam:Triticum urartu cultivar G1812 contig345717, whole genome shotgun sequence.